AUUCUCGAGCAGAUCACGGUGUACACAGAUCCACUACCAUGCGGUGAAACAUCUAACUAGGUCAACUGCCACAACUACCCUGCUCAAGAGAAUAAAAAGACCAUUAGGGAGGAGGGGGAUACAGAGAAGCCUGCUGUGAUUGGAUAAAGAGACCCAGAGCAGCACAGCAAAUCUAGACGAGUCCUGCAAAAUGAGGACACAUCCCCUUCAAAGCAAAGAAUGGCAAACCAAGUGAGACAGAAGAGCUUAGCUAAUGCUCAAAACAAAGUAAAACAGAAGUUACCAGUAGAAAUGCAACGAUGGGAGUAGAAUACGUAAUCUGCAAGGCUGCAAAUAGGCUGGAAAUGUGACAGUGCUGCAAUCAAGGCAUAAUUACCUUUGUUCUAUAAGCAGAAUGUUUACAUGUCUUCAACCUUCCAGUGGUACAAAUUGCAUAUUACAUAAGCACGAUUGAACUAGGGCAAAACUAUGUGUCUCUUAAGUAUUACACACAUAAAGGAUUUUUUUUUUUUUAAGUAAAUGCUUAACCUAAAAAAAGUAAUCGAUAAAGAAAGUACAAUGAUCCCUCAACUUAAAAUGGCCUCAACAUACAAUAUUUUCAAUAUACAAUAGUCUUUUCUGGACCAUUGUAACUUGAAACCAAACUCCACAUACAAUGCUAUGGACAGUCCAGACCUGCAAAACAUGUCAAUACCUGGAAGAACUGACCAAUCAGAAUGGACAUUUCACUGGUAAAACCCCUGUAAUACUGAAGUGCAUGAACUGACUGGCUGUCUGGUAGCACCUCCCUACAGUACAGGGUGGUACUACAUGGUCUGUACUACUCUUUUCCUGUGCCAGGGAUAGCUGCUCCAGGUUAGGAUGGCUCCAUGUUACUUUUUUGGGACACUGUGUGUACUAUACAGGACCCUGAAGAAGUUCCUGUCCUCUACAUAGAAAGUGAUUCACAACUACCAGCAGAUCUUUCUUAUUUUUUUUAUGUAAGGACUUGCUUUAUCUGUAUUAGUUAUCUACUUAUUUUCUUUUAUCCUCACUUUUUCCUAUUUUUUGGAUGACAUUUUGGGGGCUUCAGAACCAAUUACCAGGUUCAUAGAGUUAUGGUCUCAACAUACAAUGGUUUUAACAUACAAUGGUUGUCCUGGAACCGAUUAACAUUGUAACUUGAGGGACCACUGUAUCUUUAAAUAGGCACUGUCAUUUCAACAACCAUUACAUAGAUCAAUAGUACAAGCAAUUAUAAAAAAAACUUUGUAAUAUACAGUAUCUUAUUGGGCAAAAACACUUCUUUCUGCUGUUAUCUAGCUUCUUUCCUCUCCCCUUUCUUAUAGACUGUCUUUCUCUCUGAAAAUCUGCAAAAUGUGGUCCAGUUCAGCUCAAAGUUUGUCUUGUAGCUCAGUCAGAGAUCAAUAACAAGUAAUACAAGUCUAUGGAGAGGGGAGGAGGAAGUGUUUCAGCAGCAAGUUUUACACUAGUUUACUGUUAUUUGUCACUGGAACAGAUAAUGUAGCCAACUCAAUAGUACAUAAAACAGAUUAAA